UACGAAGGGGGCUAGCGUUGUUCGGAAUUACUGGGCGUAAAGCGCACGCAGGCGGAUCGAUAAGUCAGGGGUGAAAUCCCGGGGCUCAACCUCGGAAUUGCCUUUGAUACUGUCGAUCUCGAGUCCGGGAGAGGUGAGUGGAAUUCCUAGUGUAGAGGUGAAAUUCGUAGAUAUUAGGAAGAACACCAGUGGCGAAGGCGGCUCACUGGCCCGGUACUGACGCUCAUGUGCGAAAGCGUGGGGAGCAAACAGG
rnacentral:rRNA from 1 species